rnacentral:rRNA from 1 species
GGAAUUGUUCGCAAUGGGCGCAAGCCUGACGACGCAACGCCGCGUGGAGGAUGAAGGUCUUCGGAUUGUAAACUCCUGUUGAUCGGGACGAACAACCAUCGGGAUAACACCCCGGAGGUCUGACGGUACCGAUUGAGGAAGCCCCGGCUAACUCUGUGCCAGCAGCCGCGGUAAUACAGAGGGGGCAAGCGUUGUUCGGAAUUACUGGGCGUAAAGGGUUCGUAGGUGGCCAACUAAGUCAUACGUGAAAUCCCUCAGCUUAACUGGGGAACUGCGUCUGAUACUGGUUGGCUUGAGUGCAGGAGAGGAACGCGGAAUUCCAGGUGUAGCGGUGAAAUGCGUAGAUAUCUGGAGGAACACCGGUGGCGAAGGCGGCGUUCUGGACUGUAACUGACACUGAGGAACGAAAGCCAGGGGAGCAAAC